rnacentral:rRNA from 1 species
UACGGAGGGUGCGAGCGUUGUCCGGAAUCACUGGGCGUAAAGGGCGCGUAGGUGGCCCGUGGAAGUCUGCGGUGAAAGCCCGGCGCUCAACGCCGGGUCGCCGUGGAUACUCUCGGGCUUGAGCUUACUAGAGGCAGAUGGAAUUCCGGGUGUAGCGGUGGAAUGCGUAGAGAUCCGGAAGAACACCGGUGGCGAAGGCGGUCUGCUGGGGUAAUGCUGACACUGAUGCGCGACACGUGGGAGCAA